UGAGUAGUUGAGUGGUCCCUGAUGUGAUUUAAGAAGUUAUAAAAGUAUAAAAACACUCGUCACUCCCCCUUCCAGAUUCUCUCUAUCUUGAGAAAGCAUGCCACUAUUGGACUGAAAUCUUCACUCAGCCACCUUCCCCAAUCUCUGCUUCACCCGCAUUCGCUCUGCUUUCCCGCCUUCCGCCAGAUCUGUGCGCGUGCGCCGCCGUCUGCGCCACACCAACCCCGCAUUCUGCCACUUGUCGCACAUUCGCUGGUGAAAUCUACGAGUUCACUACCUUGUCUAAAACGCCUUCAUUCGAGCACAUACUCACUCACUCACUCUGCUACUAUGCUUCCGUACGGGUCCCUCUCGGAGGCAGAGAUUGCCAUGGGCCGUAACCUCACCGUGGCAGAGACUUUGUGGUUCAACUACUCAGCGACCAAGUCGGACUACUUUCUGUACUGCCACAACAUCCUGUUUCUGUUCCUAAUCUUCAGCCUAGCCCCACUCCCUUAUGUCUUCAUUGAGAUCAUGCACCUCUAUCCCUUCGACUCCUACAAGAUCCAGCCCAAGGUCCGCCUCUCCCUCCAAGAAAUGCUUAAUUGCUACAAGGACGUCAUGCGCAUGUUCUUGCUUGUUGUCGGUCCCCUCCAACUCGUUUCCUAUCCUUCCAUUCAGAUGAUUGGGAUCAGGAUGGGGCUUCCAUUGCCAUCAGUGUGGGAGGUGGUGGCACAGCUCGUGGUGUAUUUCUUGAUAGAGGACUACACAAACUACUGGCUUCAUAGGUUCCUGCACAUGAACAGGUGGGGGUAUGAGAACAUUCACAAGGUGCACCAUGAGUAUGAGGCUCCAAUUGGUUUUGCCGCGCCAUAUGCGCAUUGGGCAGAGAUCCUUCUCCUUGGGAUUCCGUCGUUCCUUGGUCCAGCAAUUGUCCCUGGUCACGUGAUCACCUUCUGGUUGUGGAUAGCAUUGCGCCAGAUUGAAGCCAUUGACACACACAAAGGGUAUGAGUUUCCCUGGGCUAUCACAAAACUCAUUCCAUUUUAUGGUGGCGCUGAUCAUCAUGAUUACCAUCAUUAUGUUGGAGGACAAAGCCACAGCAAUUUCGCUUCAGUUUUCACAUACUGUGAUUAUGUCUAUGGCACUGACAAGGGCUAUCGUUAUCAGAAGAAAAUACUAAAGAAGGUAUAUUUUUAAAGCUUGGAUGAUAUUUGAGAAGCGUGAUUCAGUGAUUGCAUGUUGUAGCCUCAGUUAGCCGUAGAACAUUUUUUCCCACUCAAAUUCUUUAGGCACUUUGAAGGAAGACUUGGCUAAUGUCGUCGAGCAGAACGGAGGAUCAUACAAGAAAUCUGACUAAAACGGUGAAAACAUCAUCCCAUGGGUUCGGAGUGUAACAAGUUUUGACUGUUUCAAACUACGAUUUCACUUGGACAUAUAAUUCCGGUGGUGGUAAAAUAGAUGUCAUUCGGUUAGGUUAAUGGUGCAGGUUAGUAGAGUGGCCCUUUAUAUAUUGUAAUUUUGUGUUAGAAGAGAGGGUUGGGGGAAGGAAUUUCUACUGUUGUCAUCUUUUCUUUUUGUUUAUUAUGUAAGAAUGCUCAUUCCCCCUAUGGGCUCGGAUUGGAAAAUGCUGAAACAUGAAAAAGAGCCUCCUCUGGAAUGUGAUUCAGAUUACAAGUAAGAAUUGUAAGCUCAGUCUUGUGGACUUUGUUGAUUGUAUAUGUUGUCAUGUUGAAUAGGGGUGAGUUUUAGUUAUUACAUCAGGAAUUGAUGUGAAAAACUUUGACAUUAAUUAGUACAAGAGGGUUUAUCCUUGCCCAUUUGCCCAUCAUAAAUGGAAAGAUGGGACAAUUUCAGAGUA